rnacentral:piRNA from 1 species
AGAAUGAUUUGCCUUCAAAAGAAA